GAUGAACGCUGGCGGCGUGCCUAAUACAUGCAAGUCGAGCGAACAGAUAAGGAGCUUGCUCCUUUGACGUUAGCGGCGGACGGGUGAGUAACACGUGGGUAACCUACCUAUAAGACUGGGAUAACUUCGGGAAACCGGAGCUAAUACCGGAUAACAUUUGGAACCGCAUGGUUCUAAAGUGAAAGAUGGUUUUGCUAUCACUUAUAGAUGGACCCGCGCCGUAUUAGCUAGUUGGUAAGGUAACGGCUUACCAAGGCGACGAUACGUAGCCGACCUGAGAGGGUGAUCGGCCACACUGGAACUGAGACACGGUCCAGACUCCUACGGGAGGCAGCAGUAGGGAAUCUUCCGCAAUGGGCGAAAGCCUGACGGAGCAACGCCGCGUGAGUGAUGAAGGGUUUCGGCUCGUAAAACUCUGUUAUUAGGGAAGAACAAAUGCGUAAGUAACUGUGCACGUCUUGACGGUACCUAAUCAGAAAGCCACGGCUAACUACGUGCCAGCCGCCGCGGUAACAC
rnacentral:rRNA from 1 species